UACAGAUGAAGGUAGGCUACACAUGAUAGGCCUAUAGAAGAAGGUAGGCCAUCUACAAGCCAAGGAGAAAGGACUUACAUGAAACCAGCCCUGCCAACGCCCUCUAUCUUUACAUGGUCUUCACUCUGUAAUGAAUAAUAAUUUGGGGUAACAUUGUCAUGGCUCCUGGCACCUCUGGGAUCUAGCUGAAGAAGUAAUGUAAAGACAGCAUGUCAAAUGGAAGAAAAUAUUUGCAAACUAUUCAUCUAACAAGGGACUAAUAUCCAGAAUACACAAGGAAUUCAAACAACUCAAAAGUAAGGAAGAUAAUAAUAAUCCCAUUAGAAAGUGGGCAAAGAACGUGAAUAGACAUUUCUCAAAAGAAGACAUACAAGUGGCCAACAGGUAUAUGAAAAAUGCUCAACAUACCUAAUCUUCAAGGAAAUGAAAAUCAAAACAGAAAGAGAUAUCAUCUUACCCCAGUAAGAAUGGCUAUUACUAAAAAGACAAAAACAGUGCUGAAAAUUUUCAUGGAGAUGGAGCAAGAUAGCCAAAUAGAAGACUCCAGCAAUCAUCCUCCCAAAAGGCACAUCAAAUUGAACAGCUAUCCACACAUAAAAGUGCCUUCAUAUGAACCAAAAAUCAGGAAAGAGAACAAGCACUGAAAAAAAAACCAACAGAAUAUCUGAAGACUGUGGGACAACUGCAAAAUCUCUAACAUCUCUCUAAUGAAAAUUCCAUAAGGAGAAAAGAAACGAUAGGAACAGAAGAAAUAUUUGAAACAAUAAUGACUGAGAUUUUCCCCAAAUGAAUGUAAGACAGCAAACCAGAGAUCCAAGAAGCUCAGAAAACACAAAGCAAAAUAAAUAUAAAACAAAACAAAAACUCCAAAUGAUGCCUAGGCAUAUCAUUUUUAAACUAUAAAAAAACAAACAAGAAGAAAAAAUCCUGAGAGCAGUCAGAGGAUAGAGACACUUUACCUCUAAAACAAUAAUUACAUCUGACUUCCCUUGCACUUUUCAGUGCAAGCAAGAAAAGAAUGGAUUGAAAUAGUUAAACUGUUGAUAGAAAAGAAACACCAACCUAGAAUUCUGUACCAUAAAAAUUAUCUUUCCAAAGUGAAAGAAAAAUAAAGACUUCCUCAGACAAAUAAUAAUUGAUGAAAUUUGUUGCCAGUAGCUGCCUUGUAAUAAAUAGUAAAGAAAUUUCUUUAGAAAGAAGGAAAAUUUUAUAGGUUAGAAACCUGAAUGAAGAAAGAACAUCAAAGAAGGAAUAAAUGAAGUAAAAUUAAAACUUAUUUUUCUUACUCUUAAUCUAACAAAUAAAAUUUUGUUCAAAAUAAUAAUGGCAAUAAAUUCAAUUAUAUAUUCUAUUAUGUAUGUUGAUAUAUACAUAAUUGAUAUGGUUUGACCCUGUGCCCCUACCCAAAUUUGACCUUGAAUUGAAGUAAUCCCCUUAUGUCAAGGGCAGGACCAGGUGGAGAUAAUUGAAUCACAGUGGCGUUUUCCCCCAUACUGUCCUCAUGAUAGUGAGUUCUCAUGACGUCUGUUGGUUUUAUAAGGGGCUUUCUCCCCAUUCACUCUGCACUUCUCCUUGCUGCUGCCAUGUGAAGAAGGAUGUGUUUGCUUCCACUUUUGCCAUGAUUGUAAGUUUCCUGAGGCUUCCCCAGAUAUGCUGAACAUGAAUCAAUUAAACCUUUUCUCUUUAUAAACUAACACAGUCUCAGAUAUGUCUUUAUUAGCAGUGAGAAUGUACUAAUACAAUAAUCAAGUAUAUUGUACUUAUAUAUGUUUAUGUGUAUGUGUAUAUAUACACAAAUGAAAUAAAUGACCACAAUGAUACAAGGGAUGGGGAGGAAUCAGGAUUAUUUUGUUAUUAGAAGGUGCUCACAUUACACAUAAAGUGUUUUAAUGUUAUUUAAAAGUGGAUUUGGGUUCCUUACAAAUGCCUAUGACAAACUCCACAGCAACCACCAUAAAAGCUAAAGAACAGGAUGCAUAACUGAUAUGCUAAGAGACAGAGAAAAUCGAAUUAUAUCAAGUGUUCAACUGAAUACCACAAAGCACAGAAAAAGAGUGGAAAACAAAAACAGACAAAAAGAACAAGGGAAACAAAUAGAAAAAGUAACAAAUAUGGAAGUUGUUAACCUAAACAUAUCAAUAAUCACUUUGAACACGUUAAACAACAGAGGUUGUCAGAGAGGGUCAAAAAAUGAGACCCAGUUAUAUAUAUUCUACAAGAAACCCACUGUAAAUAUAAAG
rnacentral:lncRNA from 10 species